GAUUUCUGGCUUGAAACAUUUUGCCGGCCACGGUUUCGUGUGUUAGUGCUUGGUGUUCUGGCCAUCCUUCCAAUCGCUAUUUGUCUUUCUUCAUUGAUGGGCAAGUGGUAUUGGAUCUUUUACUUUGAAAAAAUUAGAGUGUUUCAAGCAGGCUUCUGCCAUGAAUACAUUAGCAUGGAAUAAUCAUUUAGGACUUCGGUUCUAUUUUGUUGGUUUCGAGAGCUGAAGUAAUGAUUGAUAGGGAUAGUUGGGGGUGCUAGUAUUCAGAGGCCAGAGGUGAAAUUCUUGGAUUCUCUGAAGACUAACUUAUGCGAAAGCAUU
rnacentral:rRNA from 1 species